rnacentral:rRNA from 1 species
UCCUACGGGAGGCAGCAGUGGGGAAUCUUAGACAAUGGGCGCAAGCCUGAUCUAGCCAUGCCGCGUGAGUGAUGAAGGUCUUAGGGUCGUAAAGCUCUUUCGCYGGAGRAGAUAAUGACUGUACCYRGUAAAGAAGYCCCGGCUAACUCCGUGCCAGCAGCCGCGGUAAUACGGAGGGGRCUAGCGUUGUUCGGAAUUACUGGGCGUAAAGCGYGCGUAGGCGGAUCAGCAAGUYGGGGGUGAAAUCCCGGGGCUCAACCCCGGAACUGCCUCYAAAACUGYUGGUCUAGAGUUCGAGAGAGGUGAGUGGAAUUCCGAGUGUAGAGGUGAAAUUCGUAGAUAUUCGGAGGAACACCAGUGGCGAAGGCGGCUCACUGGCUCGAUACUGACGCUGAGGUACGAAAGUGUGGGGAGCAAACAGGAUUAGAUACCCWKRUAGUCCWCACCKUAAACG